rnacentral:rRNA from 1 species
UAAGGAAUAUUGGUCAAUGGACGCAAGUCUGAACCAGCCAUGCCGCGUGGAGGAUUAAGGCCCUCUGGGUUGUAAACUCCUUUUAUCUGGGAAGAAAUGUACUUUUUCUUGAGUACUUGACGGUACCAGAGGAAUAAGCACCGGCUAACUCCGUGCCAGCAGCCGCGGUAAUACGGAGGGUGCAAGCGUUAUCCGGAUUCACUGGGUUUAAAGGGUGCGUAGGUGGGCAGGUAAGUCAGUGGUGAAAUCUCCGGGCUUAACUCGGAAACUGCCGUUGAUACUAUUUGUCUUGAAUAUUGUGGAGGUAAGCGGAAUAUGUCAUGUAGCGGUGAAAUGCUUAGAUAUGACAUAGAACACCAAUUGCGAAGGCAGCUUACUACACAAUCAUUGACGCUGAGGCACGAAAGCGUGGGGAUCAAACA